ensembl:lncRNA
UCGAGAAGAGGAUUGGUGAGUGCUUCACCAUGCAGUACAGUACAGUCUGAGCUGAUGAACCUACGAGAGGAAUUUCAAAUAAUACAGGCUGAGAAUGUCAAAUUAAGAGAAGAGGCAGAAAAAUCAAGAGGAGAAGCUAAAAAUUCAAAGUUUGAAACUGAAGUAGUAUUGCAGGAAUUACUGCAUGUGGGUCUAAAACUUAAAGUAGAGAAGAUGGGAAAACAACAGGCAGAAAAUGAGAAUGAAAACAUCAAGAAAGAACUGUUGGAAGCUCAAAAAGCAUUGGAGGAAGAGAAACCACAGCACAAGAAGCCAAAAAUAAAUAUCAAACUGCAAAGAAGGAGGCAGAAAAUGAGAAUGAAAACAUCAAGAAAGAACUGUUGGAAGCUCAAAAGCAUUGGAGGAAGAGAAAACCACAGCACAAGAAGCCAAAAAUAAAUAUCAAACUGCAAAGAAGGAGGCAGAAAACGUGAUGCAGGAAUUACAGGAGGUGCAGAAAGAUUUUGAAGAGGAAAAAGGAAAAUGCAGUUGGCAACACAAGAAGCUGAAAAUGUCAUGGCUGAAGCUGAAAGAGUAAGGAAGGAAUUCCUGCACGUAAAGCAACAACUUGAAGAGGAGAAAAACGUAAACAUGAGGCAGAAAAUGAGAUUGAAAAUAUGAAGAAAGAAUUGUUGGAAGCUCAAAAGUGUUGGAGGAAGAGAAAAUGAAAAUACAGGAAGCAAAGAAAGAAAUGGAAAAUACAAAGAGUUACACUCAAAACAUGAAGAAGAAGUUGCUGGAAACACAGGAAGCAAUAGAAAAAGAGACACGUGGAAAAUGGGAGGCAAAACAGGAAAGUGAAACUCUGAAGAAGGAACUGAUGAAAGUGCAAGAAGAACUUGCAGAAGAGAAAAUUGAGGUGAAGGUAUUCGAGAAAGAAAUGACAGGCUCUGCGAGGACCAAGAAAGACUGCAAAGAUGCACUUAAAGAAAUCCAAAAGCACAAAAAGGAAGCUAAAGAGCUCCUCAAACAGAAAGUGAAACUGGCCAAACAGCAGCUGAAAGACAAAUUUAAAGACGCCGAGGAGCAGCUAAACAAAACGUUGAAAGAGCUGAAGGCCAAAGAAAAAGAAAAGAAAGCCGAGGACACGAGGGGAUUCUGGAGCAGACUGCUGAGAAAGAACUGACCCAGCAGCAUCAAGUUUAAGGAGAUCAACAGCUUCUUCCUCCUUCCCCCUUUCUCCACCUUUCUUUCACCCCAUCCUUCUUCUCCUCUCUCUCUCUCUCAUCUUCUCUACCCUGACCUCUCACCUUUAACCCACUUUCUCUUUCACCGUCCCUCUCCUCCUAAAACUCCCCCCAAACUUUACUUGGGACGUUUGUUUGUUUUUUAAAAACUCUAAUCUGAAUACAUGUACUGAAAUACACA